rnacentral:miRNA from 15 species
GGUGCAGUGCUGCAUCUCUGG